rnacentral:rRNA from 1 species
UACGGGGGGGGGCAAGCGUUGUUCGGAAUUACUGGGCGUAAAGCGCACGUAGGCGGAUUUGUUAGUCAGGGGUGAAAUCCCGGGGCUCAACCUCGGAACUGCCUUUGAUACUGCAAGUCUCGAGUCCGAUAGAGGUGGGUGGAAUUCCUAGUGUAGAGGGUGAAAUUCGUAGAUAUUAGGAAGGAACACCGGUGGCGAAGGCGGCCCACUGGAUCGGUACUGACGCUGAGGUGCGAAAGCGUGGG